UACGGAGGGUGCAAGCGUUGUCCGGAUUUAUUGGGUUUAAAGGGUGCGUAGGCGGUCUUUUAAGUCAGUGGUGAAAUCCUCCAGCUUAACUGGAGAACUGCCAUUGAUACUGGGAGACUUGAGUACAGACGAGGUAGGCGGAAUUGACAGUGUAGCGGUGAAAUGCAUAGAUAUUGUCAAGAACACCGAUUGCGAAGGCAGCUUACUAGACUGUAACUGACGCUGAGGCACGAAAGUGUGGGGAGUCAAACAGG
rnacentral:rRNA from 1 species